rnacentral:rRNA from 1 species
CUCCUGAUUGACCGAUAGUGAACCAGUACCGUGAGGGAAAGGCGAAAAGAACCCCGGCGAGGGGAGUGAAAUAGAACCUGAAACCGUGUACGUACAAGCAGUGGGAGCACCUUUGUGGUGUGACUGCGUACCUUUUGUAUAAUGGGUCAGCGACUUAUAUUCUGUAGCAAGGUUAACCGUAUAGGGGAGCCGUAGGGAAACCGAGUCUUAACUGGGCGAAUGA